CUGUCUCUCAGCCACAUAGUUAAUCCUCAGUCAAAUGUCAACUCGUAAUCACUUUAAUACACUCACAAACAAGUAGUGCAAGCAAGAGAUUCAAUUCAAUGUACAAGCAAGUCACAACAAGACAAACAAUACAAUCACAAAGUAAUAAGACAAGCAAGCGCAAUAAAAUGCAAAUGUGCAAACAACAUGAUGCAUGUCUAUCCCUAACGCAGGCCAUGAGCUCAUGUGUCGGUUGCCUACCCGCUCCCGACAUUACCCGGGCACAAGUCCCAGAUAUGGCUUUCCAGAUGCAUCAGUGUGCUUAUAAGUCGUACGGCUAGGCCGCAUCAGUGUGACUUUCCAAAUCAAUAAGCGUACAUCUGGAAAACAGUUCUCAGUGUGUGGGCGUCCCCACUUUACAUUUGGCACUAAGGCCCAAACAAUGUC
rnacentral:lncRNA from 1 species